UUGGGCAAAUCCAAAAGCAUGAAUGGCAAUAUUAAUAACAAAUUCAAGGCCAAAGGCAUUAAGUAGGAACAAGAGGAUGGAAUGAUCAGAGGCACUAUGGCAGAGAUUGCUAGAUGCUUUUGCCCAUUCCUUGUCACCCUUGCUAACAAAACCUCAUUUUAAUUUGUUACAACAAUCUGUCUUGAUACCAAUUAUUUUUCCCAUCCUCUUUUACAAUUAAGGGUGGGCAAUAAGUUGUAAGCAGAGGUUAAUGGGUGGAGCCUGUUGAAGUCUAAUUCAGCUGGAAGCUAUUCCUUUCUGCCUUCUUCUUUUUCCUCCUUCCUGACUGGAAUAUGUACGUGACGGCUGGAGCUUCAGGAACCAUCUUGCAACGAUGACUUGGAGACGAACACCACUUACUAAAGGUGGCAGAGCAGAAAGACACACAGAGCUUGCAUUCCAGAUGACCACAAAGCCCUGCUACCAGCCCUGGACUUCUUUUUACCAUCAGGCUGAAGAUCAGAAUUCAUAAAACAGAGCAUCUGUGACCUGAUCUCCAGUGAGAACUAGAAAACUACUCCCCGACUUGAACACUAUAUUUCUAUUAAUACAACAAAAGAUUGAUUUUUGUUUUGUGGAAGUUACAUCACACUGUGUUGACUCAUCAUCUACUCACAAUCAACAAGGCUCUAAAUCUUCCUACGUGAGCUAUCCCUUGGUGCUGCCCAGCCUCCAAAAGCAUGAGAGCCAGCCUUAUAGACUUCUUAUCAGCACCUCUACACACAGCAAGAGGUGUUGGAAAUAGUCUCUGAAAAUUCUACACCCAAGUGCCUGCAGGGACAGCUCUUCCCUGAAGCUUCUGAGAAGUCCUGCAUGAAGGCUUUUGUGAACCAGGUCAGUAAUAGGUAAAAUGCAACCAUUACAGAGAACUCACAUAGAACCUUCCCUAGACUAACCCUACUGCCUUGGUAAUCCUACUCUGAAUUCCCUUGUCACUUAAGAAAAACUUUGCACCACCAAAUUGCAUCCUUGUUUCUAUUUGGAAACUUUUCAGAGACUCUAAGAGUUCAAAAUAACUAAUCUAUUUUGGUUCCUGACCAAUUAUAGAACCCUCUCUCUCUUUUUUUUUUUUUGUUUUAACUUGGCCACGCCACGCGGCUUGUAGGAUCUUAGUUCCCUGACCAGGGAUAGAGUCUGUGCUCCCUGCAUUGGAAGCAUGGUGUCUUAACCACUGGACCGCCAGGGAAGUCCCUCUAAGACAUUAUUUCUUCAUUCAUCUACUACUUCACCCAUUCAAAGAACAUCAGCUUCCUCAUUUCGGACUCUCCUGAAGCCAAUCCAUUCAGCCUUUGUCCCCCAUUCUUCUACUGCAAACACACCUGUGAAGGUGGCAGUGACCUCUUUGUUGUCAAAUCCAGUGGUCAGUUGUCCAUCCUCACCUUACUGCCCUCUCAGCAGCUACUUGGCACUAAUGAUCAGUCCCUUUUUGUUGAAACAUUUUCUUCACUUUGCUUCCAUCACACCACAAUGGCUUUCCUUCUACCUCAUUGUUUAUUCCUUCUCAGUCUCUUUUGGUGGGUCCUUCCUGAUUUCUGAAUGCUGGGAGCCCCCUUGGGCUUGGUCCUCUGCAAUUUCCCAUCCAGUCCAUUGCUUUAUUUUAUUUCUUAAAUUUUUAUCGGAGUAUAGUUGAUUUACAAUGUUGUGUUAGUUUCAGGUGUACGGCAAAUUGAAUCAGUUAUACGUAUACAUAUAUCCACUCUUUUUUAGAUUCUUUUCCCAUAUAGGCCAUUACAGCGUACUGAGUAGAGUUCCCUGGGCUAUACAGUAGGUCCUUACUAGUUAUCUAUUUUAUAUAUAGUAGUGUGUAUAUGUCAAUCCCAAUCUCCCAAUUUAUCCCCCCUGCCGCUUACCCCCUGAAAACCUUAAGUUUGUUUUCUACAUCUGUAACUCUAUUUCUGUUUUGUAGAUAAGUUCAUUUGUACCCUUUUUUUCAGAUU